AGAGUUUGAUCCUGGCUCAGGAUGAACGCUAGCGGCAGGCCUAACACAUGCAAGUCGAGGGAGAGGUUACCUUCGGGUAACCAAAACCGGCGCACGGGUGCGUAACGCGUAUACAAUCUGCCUUUCACAUAGGGAUAGCCCGAAGAAAUUUGGAUUAAUACCUAAUGGUAUAUAGGAGCGGCAUCGUUUUUAUAUUAAAGCUACGGUGGUGAAAGAUGAGUAUGCGUUCUAUUAGCUAGUUGGAGAGGUAACGGCUCCCCAAGGCGACGAUAGAUAGGGGUUCUGAGAGGGAUGUCCCCCACACUGGUACUGAGAUACGGACCAGACUCCUACGGGAGGCAGCAGUGAGGAAUAUUGGACAAUGGUCGGAAGACUGAUCCAGCCAUGCCGCGUGCAGGAUGAAGGUCCUAUGGAUUGUAAACUGCUUUUGUAAGGGAAGAAUAAGGAGUACGUGUACUUUGAUGACGGUACCUUACGAAUAAGCAUCGGCUAACUCCGUGCCAGCAGCCGCGGUAAUACGGAGGAUGCGAGCGUUAUCCGGAAUCAUUGGGUUUAAAGGGUCCGUAGGCGGGCUGAUAAGUCAGAGGUGAAAGCGCUUAGCUCAACUAAGCAACUGCCUUUGAAACUGUCAGUCUUGAAUGAUUGUGAAGUAGUUGGAAUGUGUAGUGUAGCGGUGAAAUGCUUAGAUAUUACACAGAACACCGAUAGCGAAGGCAUAUUACUAACAAUUUAUUGACGCUGAUGGACGAAAGCGUGGGGAGCGAACAGGAUUAGAUACCCUGGUAGUCCAUGCUGUAAACGAUGGAUACUAGCUGUUUGGAGCAAUCUGAGUGGCUAAGCGAAAGUGAUAAGUAUCCCACCUGGGGAGUACGCACGCAAGUGUGAAACUCAAAGGAAUUGACGGGGGCCCGCACAAGCGGUGGAGCAUGUGGUUUAAUUCGAUGAUACGCGAGGAACCUUACCAAGGUUUAAAUGGGAACUGACAGAGGUAGAGAUACCUCCUUCUUCGGACAGUUUUCAAGGUGCUGCAUGGUUGUCGUCAGCUCGUGCCGUGAGGUGUCAGGUUAAGUCCUAUAACGAGCGCAACCCCUGCCAUUAGUUGCUAACGAGUC
rnacentral:rRNA from 1 species